GCUCGAUUUGGAGCGGAGGAAGCUACGGUGGCAGUUAGCUAUUUUUGCCGAUCUCCGGCGAUUCCGGCCACCUCCGGUCACCAUCUUGCCGUCGAAGCUUGGGUUUUCCACGAAGAUCAUUUCCCCUAAGGCCUUGCAUUCCAAUUUGCUGUGUGGAGGCCGAAUCGACGAAGAACAUCUUUGGGUCCGAAGCAAUUUUCUGGGCAAACUUCAUCAGCUUAAUCCGAGCUCUUAAAGGACGAGAUACUGACUCAUCGCUCGACGAGGAUCCUUACGCUUGGAUACCACGCUAGCCGUAUACUUCUGCAGAGUAGCUGGUUCGGCAUAGUAGGAUUCGGGGCAUAGCAUCUGCUGCUGUUGUUUUCAUUG